rnacentral:misc_RNA from 1 species
GAUGAAGAACGUAGCGAAAUGCGAUAAGUAAUGUGAAUUGCAGAAUUCAGUGAAUCAUCGAAUCUUUGAACGCACAUUGCGCCCGCCAGUAUUCUGGCGGGCAUGCCUGUUCGAGCGUCAUUUCAACCAUCAAGCCCCCGGCUUGUGUUGGGGACCUGCGGCUGCCGCAGGCCCUGAAAACCAGUGGCGGGCUCGCUAGUCACUCCGAGCGUAGUAAUACAUCUCGCUCAGGGCGUGCUGCGGGUUCCGGCCGUUAAAAGCCUUAUUUUACCCAAGGUUGACCUCGGAUCAGGUAGGAAGACCCGCUGAACUUAAGCAUAUAAAUAAGCGGAGGA